GUCCAAAAGCGGGAAUCGAACCCACAACCUUCUGCUUACCGGGCAGGUGCCAUGUCCACUAGGCUACCCUGGA